GUAGAAAUAAUAACCAUAGCUUCACUGUCUUGAGCUGUGCCCAAGUAAUUCAUCAUCUAAAGAAGAACGCUUUUGGGAAUAAUAAACAGGCACUAUUAAUAAUGACGCCAGGAGGGCAGAACUGGGUGUACGGCAGGGAACUGGGGAUGCCAGCCCCCUACUCAUGUGGGCACACAGUGUGUACCCGACUGGAGCCGCUGUAAACACGCCUUCACCCUCAGAGUAGAAGGAUAUCCUGAUUUUACAGACGAAGAAACAGCCUCCCCCGAGAAGUCACCUGCCCAUACAUUCACCCAGGAAAGAAGUGGAGGAGCCAGGAUUUUUACGCAGGGCUUUUUUUUUUCAAUUUAUUUUUUUUUGAGGAAUAUUAGCCCUGAGCUACCAUCUGCCACCAAUCCUCCUCUUUUUGUUGAGGAAGACUGGCCCUGAGCUAACACCCGUGCCCAUCUUCCUCCACUUUAUAUGUGGGACCCCUCCCACAGCAUGGCUUGCCAAGCGGGGCCAUGUCCGCACCCGGGAUCUGAACCGGAGAACCCGGGGCCGCCGAAGCGGAAUGUGCGCACUUAAAGACUGGGCAAUCCAGCCGGCCCCUACGCAGGACCUUUGCACUCCCAAAUCCAAGAGGGGGGUUAUUAUGCUCUACUGAGAUCAGGUUGAAAGACUCGCCUUUAGGGUUGUUGUACCGCUAAAAUGUAUUCAAGUUGUCUGAAGCAGGGGCUCCACAAAAGGGGAAGUAUUACCGCCGUGAUUAGUGAGAACUGAAGAAAGCACUCCCUGUGUCAGCACUGGGAUCAGGCGAAAGUCACUGUGCUGCUCGUUCCAGAAAAUAUCUGCUCCUGGAAGAUAAGCUGAUGCAUCACCUCUCACUUCAAACCCCCUCCCUGGGCCACCGUCCCAGAGCACUUCGGUCAGAAACACCGCCCAACCCUGACCAGCCCGCUGCCUCCAAGACGCAGCCAGGGCCCUAAAACCCUAUAAACACCAUCCCCUGAUUUCUCGAAUUCGAGGCUCUGUUGAAGUGAUGUUGUCCUUUACCACAGGAGGUCUAAGAAACCUGGUUUUGUUCGAUCGACAGGUUUUUCUAGUGGAAUUAAACCAAGGGAUAAAGGUCGAGGAUGACAUUCAAAAAUGCUUUUUGUUACUAUUCUACGAAAUGGAAAUCACCAAAUGGACUAGACACAAUAAUGGCCUCCAAAAGACGCCCACGUCCAAAUCCUUGGACUGUGAAUGCGUCACCUUACACCGCUCAAGGGACCUCACGGAUGUGACUAAGGAAAGGAUGUUGAGAUGGGAGAUAAUCCUGGACGAGCCGGGGGGAGGGGGCCCAGUGUCAUCACAAGGGUCCUUGUAAGCGGGAGGCAGGAGAUCAGAGUCCGUGGGAGGAGACGUGAGCAUGGAAGCAGAGUUUGAGUGAUGGCUUUAAAGAAGCAGGAAGGGACCCUGAGCCAAGGAAUGCAGGCGCCUCUAGAAGUUGGAAAUGGCAAAGAACGGAUUUCCCCGGAAAGCCUCCAGAAGGAACAGCUCUGCCGACCCCUUUCACACAUCUGCCUUCCAGAACUGUAGGAGAAUAAAUGUGUGUUAAGUCACUGGUUUGUGGUAAUCUGUUACAGCAGCCGUAGGAAACACAUACACCAAACAUUCAAGGGAGAGAAACUACGUGAUAGUCGUCAGUAGAGAACAGCAGUAAGGCCCACAGCCUGGAGCCAGACUUCCUGGGUUCCAAUUCCCCCCUGCCCCCCCCCCCCCCCAUCACUUCCAGGCUGGGCGACACUGGCUGAUUACUAAGUAACUCUCUGAGCUUCAGUCUUUCCAUUUAGAAACCAAGGAUGAUACAAGGAGCUGCCUGCCAAGUUACUGCGGUGAUGAGAUGAGAGCUAACGGAUCGUGAGCCUGGUGCAGUGCCUGGCACACAGCACGGGCUGCAGACCUCCCAGCACUGAGGUUAGAGAUGCAGCAAUGGCUCUGCCUUCCUUUCCUCAGGAGAGAGUGGAGGAAAGGGCCCCAGUCGUCGGGCUAACCGGGGGAAUCUGCCAUGCCAUUGCUGUACAUAACUGCUACGAACUCAUCCUUCUGACACUUCAUUUCUUAACUGACACAUCCAGUUGUAUAUCCUGCAAAAACGAUUUCCAUGGAUACACUGCAUGUUUAUCUAAGUGGCUAUAUAUAUGGAAUAUGUUUUGCAUGAGUGUGAAGCAAGGUGCAGAAGGACACAUGUCAGGCAGAGGGAAAGAGAAGAGCUGCGAGGUCGAGGACACUGUGAGAGGAUGACCCAAGGCACAGACAGGCUGUGAGUGGACACAGGGAGCCCAGCAGCUGGACACUCCAGGAAGGUUGCCCAAUCAAGCCACUCAGAAAAACAACACCCAUCAGCCACACACAGGAGAGUCCACAAAAGCCUGCGAAGCGACAGUCUCAUUUCUCGCUGGUUUUUUCUGGAGAGAUGAGCGCGUUGCUGUCUCCACGAUUCAGGUUGAAGGCAAGAUGGCCACCAUGCUUCCAGGCAUCUUACCUAGUCACCAGAAAGAAGAGCAGGAAUGCAUCUUUCUCUGGGUGUCUUAUUUAGAAGGAAGGAAUCCUUUCCCAGAGGCCCCUCAGCACCCAUCUGCCUCCUUAUCCUACUGCCCACCAUUGCAUCCCAUGCUCCUGGGAGGGAGACGGCCACCAUGACAGAUUAAUCUCAGAUUGAUCGAGAUUCACCCCCUAGAGGCACUUGUCCAGCGUGGCAGCCAGAACAAAAUCAGUGCUCUCUUAGAGAAGGGGAAGAGAAGAACGGAUGUUGAGUUGGCAAAUUGUACUCCUCCUUAUUCUACUAAUAAGGGUUGGGAAACUUUCUCCUAUAGUGUUAUUGGUGUUUAUGUCCUUAAACGUGGGCUGCUGGCUCCGGUUUGUUUGCUAAGAUUUCUCAACUCUCUAAGGACCAUGUAUCAUUUUAUAAUAAGACCAACACAAAAAUUCAAAUAAACUCUAAAGUCCAAAAUUUUUUAAAAGGCAGUGCAAUAAAUUUGAAAAAUGAGC
ensembl:lncRNA